GACGUCGCUCGGGCGGUCGCCGGUCGCGCUUGGUCUUCAGGCGAGGCGGGAGGAAAGUCCGAGCUCCACAGAGCACGAUGCCGGGUAACCCCCGGUGGCGGCAACGCUGAGGAGAGUGCCACAGAAAAAAAACCGCCGUCGCUCGCUUCGGCGAUUCGACGGCAAGGGUGAAACGGCGGGGUAAGAGCCCACCGCGCACGCGGCGACGCGGGCGGCACGGCAAACCCCAUCGGGAGCAAGGCCGCAUAGGCAGGCGCUUGAGAGCUGCUCGCUCGAGCCUGCGGGUAGGCUGCUCGAGGCGGCGGGCAACCGCCGCCCUAGAGGAAUGAUCGCCUCCGCGCGCGGGGUGACCCGCCCGCGAGACAGAACUCGGCUUACAGAGCCACGUCGACC
rnacentral:RNase_P_RNA from 1 species